rnacentral:lncRNA from 1 species
CUUUAUCUGGUUUCUCGAGUCAAGAGGUUCACUUUAUAUAUAAAGCACACAAUGCAGUGAACAGAAUAAGCAAUUCAAAUCUUAUUUUCAAUACAAUAUUUUUAUGGUAUUAGAGCAAGUUUUUUCUUAAUUAGUCAACCACUUAUUCUUAUUCUCCUAUCAUCCUCUUGGUGUUUGUUUUCUCUGGUCCUCUAUUCUUCAUUUGAUAAUCAUGUUUUCUUCUAGUAUUUUUUUAGAUCUUAGUGUUGAUAUAACGUCACCAUUCUUUCUCCAUCA